AGGUGGAUUUAAGAAGGAAGGGAGCAGGGUGAGGGAGCAUGAGACUGAGAACUGAACAGGCUGUCCUCACAGUUAAGUGACGGGCACUGUACCCUUGGCGCCUGCCUUCGCUUUAAAUCUGACCCCUUCGCAGUCCAGCUCUCCUAGAUUGCUGACCUGCUGAGAAGACUGGACAAUGGACAGCUAGAUCUGCGUGUGUCUGCUGGCGUCCCCCUCUCUGGCUGCCUUCGUCUGUAUUAAUUGCGUUCGUUUAGAGCCCAGGAAGCCCUGCCCUUGUGAUAACCCAAGAAGUUCUAAGCAGGAGAGCUGUAGCUAGAGUCUAGGGUUGUCAGUGUGCUGCUUUAGAGGAAUGCGCAGGGUUCUGCAGGGAGCAGCUCAUGAAGCUUAGGAGCCUGCAAAGUUCAGUUAUUCCUCUUUUUGGAACAAAAUUCACUAAUUAGGACUAAUUGGUCACAGGUAGGUGUGAGCUAGGAUACGAUUUGAAUUAGAAAAUAUUUCAAAGGAAUGCAAAUAUGUUAAAUUGCUGUUCUGAUAAUUAUACUUAAGCCAAUAGUGUCAUUAGAAGUACUUUAAGAAUAUACAAGAAUGAUUGCUAUUUGGUUUAUUAGACACAAUGUCUUUGUUUUGUAGGUGAGGAAACUUGAGAUUGAACAGAUGGUGUUUUUUCCGAAAGGCAUAUAACUUGUUAGAGGCAGAGCAGAAACUAGAAAGUUGGUUUUCUAAUUCUCUAUCCGGUGUUGAAAUUGUUCAGUGUAGACAAGGAAAGACCGAUCUCAUGCAUGACUUGAUUAUCAUCUCCAAGUAUAUGACGGUGCCCUCAGCCCCACUCCCACCCAUGAUAAAAAGUUGUUGUCUUACAGUUCAAAAUAACUGUCUGCCAGGAACCAACAAGAAAGGAUGGGUUUGCCCUGGUCAAAGACUUAACAGUUUGUGUCUUUUCUCCUGAAGGUUUUCAGGAGAGAAUAAGUUACCCUCAGCUCAAUAAUUUAGAUGGUAAAGGACUUGAUCGAAUGUUGUUUUAAGACCCCUUUCAUAUUAUUCUCUGCAGCUUAAUGAUUUUAAGGAUAAAAAUAUGGUAAUGGAAGUACUCUUACUAGAAUGAAGUGUUAUCUUAUUGGAACUUGCAUUUGGAAGAGUAACUGUUCCUGCUGCUAGGAACUGAGGCGCAUCAGAAAUUGUAACCUCAUCGUUGGUGUGCAGACCUUGGGAGAGCAGCAUCCAGCUCCCUUUUGUGGAUCUAGAUAGAAAAGAGUCCCAGUUUGUUUAAAGAUGAAUAAACUAAUUUAUUUAUUUUUUUAAAAUCCAGCCUUGGCAAAUGCAACAUUAUGUGUCCUUGAGCCUAUUAUGUCUGUGGAGGUUAUAGCCCCAAAUGAAUUUCAGGGAUCGGUGAUUGCAGGAAUUAACCGGCGCCAUGGGGUCAUCACCGGACAAGAUGGAAUUGAGGACUAUUUCACGUUAUAUGCAGACGUCCCUCUAAAUGAUAUGUUUGGUUAUUCCACUGAACUUAGGUCAUGCACAGAGGGAAAGGGAGAAUACACAAUGGAGUACUGCAGAUAUCAGCCGUGUUCGCCGUCCACACAAGAAGGCCUUGUUAAUAAGUAUUUGGAAGCUACAGGUCAACUUCCUGUAAAAAAAGGAAAAGCCAAGAACUAACCUUUCUCACUUUAAGUUGACAAACUGAAUCUGCAAGGUUUAGAUACUUUAAUGGAUUCCAGCGGAAUGGAUUCAAGCUGAAAUAAGAAAUUUUAGAAGCCCUUCCUGUUUUGUUUAGGAGCUUCUCUUAUAUUCAAAGAUAAUUCUAUGUAUAUCUCAACUCGAUUGGUUUUAUGGUUCAUUGAAAAACCUCAAAUAAAAUAUGAUUAUUACUGAAAUAUAUUUAAUAUUUAUCUAAGGGGAGAAGAGACUAAUUUCAGUUAUACUUCUGAGCUUAGAAUAUAUGUAAACUUCCUUUCCAAAAUUUUUAUCAUAAGAAUUUUCAACAUAUAGAAAAGCUGAAACAAACAGUAUAAAUAAUAGCAUGUAUCUUCUAUCUAGACUCAACAACGAACAAUCCUGUUAACAAUUUGUUUAUCAGAUAGUAAUUUGUUUUGUCAUAUUUGCUUUAUCUGUUUGUCUAUCAUUUGCCUACCUAUCUCUUUAUUUAAAAAUUUUUUUUAAUUAUUGUUUUGCUGAAUACUUGAAAGUGAAUUGCAUAAAUCAUGAUGCUUCUUGGAGUGUCCUUUUUUUUUUUUUUGGUGCUGAGGAAGAUUUGCCCUGAGCUAGCAUCCAUGCCAGUCUUCCUCUAUUUUGUAUGUGGAUUGCCACCACAGCAUGGCUGCUGACAAGUGAUGUAGGUCUGCACCCGGGAACUGAACCCAGGCCACCAGAGUGGAGCCACCAGACUUAACCGCUAGGUCACCGGGCUGGCCCUGGAGUGUCAUCUUUUAAUGAGCAGCCUUUUUUGUUCGAGUGGAUUCCAUGUGUUCUUAAUGGAGGAUGUUUUUCAGAUUCUUCAUUGGGAUAUUAAAAUGCUAGCUACAUUUCCAGCUGUUUUAUAUAUAACCAACUGCUUCAAUUUGUGACUUGUCCAAAUUUAUAACUGCCUUCCUUGCAGACCUGUGAAACAAAGAACAGCCCCUUGCGCAUGCUCUUCUUGUCUCUGUUCUUCUGAAUGUCUCUGCGGCUCUAAAAAGAAAAUAGAGUUUAAAGAGUUGCUGACCAGUCAGUUUCAUUCACAUAGUAAAUUCUAGUUGAAUUUGAGUCUGUUGGAAUUUAUCAUAUAUUGUAUUCAUGGAGAGUGUGAAAGAACAAAUGAUAAGCUUUUUUUCCUAGAAUGAGGUGGACUUUCCCAGGUACUUUUACCAUGCUGUUCCGAAUUGCUUCAUCCAGAAAAAUCAUCUGAUGUGAUAGAUAACAUCCUAGUCCUUUCUCUUGUGGAUAAUAGAAAUAAAAUAACUUUUAAAUUC